rnacentral:rRNA from 1 species
CAAUAGCGUAUAUUAAUGCUGCUGCUGUUAAAAAGCUCGUAGUUGGAUGAAGAGUUUCACCGUGCUGUUUGGCCUUCUUGAACUGUUUAUCGUAUGGUAAGCAGGGAGAGCGGGAUAAAACCAACAGCAUUAAGCGGUGUGCUCUAACAGCCCGAAACGGUUGAUGGUUAGUAGGCUUCUUCAUUGGGGCUGAAAGCGACUUCGCAUAAACCUUAUGCAAAAGUCACGUCGGGCGAUGUCACUGUGAACAAACCAGCGCGUUCAAAGCAGGCUUUUAGCCAGAAUGUUCGAGCAUGGAAUGACAAGGGAUCGAACGAAACGGUCUUCUUUGUUGGUUUCUAUACCGAAAACGUAUAACUCUGAUUACACAGUCUGAAUGGGAUCCCGAUGCUUCGGCAGAGGCCCCAAUCAGCUUGUAUUCAAACGGGAUCAAUAGAGACAAUCGGGGUCGUAAGUACUCGGAUGUCAGAGGUGAAAUUCUUAGAUCAUCCGAAGAC